CAUGAUUGUAUCCUGUCAAUCAAUGGAUAUGGGGGAUGAAUCCGCCACACUUUCACACACACAGCUUGAAAAACUGCAGGCCCUGGGUGUAAGGGCAAUGCUCUUGACAGCAAACACCUGGGUGUCCGAGGUGUUACUGCCCCGUUGCCACUUAGUAGGCGAACGCUACUACAUGUGUGGACAGAAUGCGGGACAUUUAUGGACUUCUUGUUCACGACUGGGUCCUACCAGAUGCCACACGCCAGUUGGAUGAACCCUCAUCAGCCCCAGUCGAACAACCAACUGGACCAGUAGCUCCACCAGAUCCCCAGCAAACACUGGCUCCACCUGAUCCCCGAAGGGCCCCAACUGGACCAGUAAUGGCCCCACCAGACCCAGUGGAGGUUGUCCCUCAGCAACCUCCACUACAUCAGUGAAGUUCCUGACUAGGCCACCAGCAGCCCCAACUGGACCAUCAACCUCUGGUUCCCAUUCCUCAGAAGGAACUCCAGCUGCCCCAGUUGCUUUAGAAAAAGUAAUAGAUGACAUUGUGAAAGAAGGCUGUCCUGCUCCCAGUGCAGUGCUGAAACGGAAAAGGAAAGGUGUGUUGUAAUGUCAAUCCAUAAUUGUCUGAAUAUGGUUUUAAAAACAAAAAAUAUAUAUAUGUAUAUAUAAUUGAAGUAUACCACAAUGAAGUAAUCAGAUAUUUUUGUCCAUAAUACUUUUAGAGAGUCCAGUCAGCACACAGUCAUAGAGGAGUAAAACGUAUUCACACCGACCCGAGAGGAUAAAAUCCUAAUGAAAUAAAUGAACACUUGAUUAAUGUAGUAGUUGAUCAAUAGUUGAUUCAUUGUUGCCACUCUAAAUGAAUGUGCUUACAGUUUGAAUGCUCCACCUUUCAUUUUAAAUAUGUCCUGUAGUGUGGGAUUUGCAUUGUCCAGUCUUGGUCAUCACUCAGUCUCAGUUUAGAUGUUCUUAAGUAAGAGCAUAAGCUGACAGUGAAUGAGACUGUGAUCUUUUAUUUUCCCCACUGGUCUCAUUGCUACACAUUUCCCUUAAUUCAUACAGUAAGUGUGUCCAUUCUUUGUAAACAGACACGUCUACUGACACAUGAUUUUGGUGUGAUCUUGGUUUUCAAAGACAAAAAAAAUACCCUAGUCUCUGCUGUGAAGUGCUCUACUCUUCUAUGAAACAGUCAUUUGAAUUGAUUUUGAUUCAUUUGAGCACUGAUGACUGCCCAUAUAUAUUUAUCCUCUCAUCCAUCUCUAUAGUCCAUUGAUUACAGUCAUUUACCAAUGAUGCAUGCAAGCUCUGUACCAGAAUAACUACAUAUCUUCCCUUUCAGAAUGCCCACAUACAGUAUCAGGGAGCAAAGAGUUCUACCCUGUGAAGAGGGUUGCCUAAUGCAAAGUUUUAAAGGUUCAAUAAUCCCACACAGAGUCAUUCACCUGCUGACGUUUCCUAGAACUCUCAUGUUAGAGAAUCUACAGUCAUAAAGUGCUGAUAGUCUUUAUGUAAUCUGUGUAAUAAUCCUGAAAGAGUAUUCAAGACGGAGGUAUAGCCAAAGAUUUGAACUGAAUAGGGACAAAAAUUGCAACUGGUGGAGUGGGAGCCGUGCAAGUCCUGGUAUGUAUGACUUGUGAUCACAGCAUAUCUUAUUUGAUACCAACACUGAGAACAUUCACAUGCACACCAAUAAUCUUUGUUUAUGAUACUGGCAAAGUGCUCUCUGUAGCCCGACGUGUGCCUCCAAAAAAUGUCGUCAUCAGUCGAGGCAACUGAGACCAAUGGAGACCGCGGUGCUGUCAUUAGUCAGUUAACGACUCAUUCCCGCAGCCCCUAGUGUUCUGGCGGUGAAUUGCAAUACCAUACUGAAAACUGCAGCGCACUACCCCGUCUGUAUGGUCACAGAGUUGGAAACUCUAAGAGUGACAUAGAAAUCUCUUAAGGACUCUUAAUUGCUCCUUUAGGCCUCCUGUGGAGGGGGGUUUGAGGGUGGAGGGGUAUCUACAAGGUCAGAUAUUUAAGCAUCUGUUGCAAGAUGCAAUAUUAAGGCUAAUUUUAUUACAUUAUCAAAUGAUUUUUUUUAAUGCAAGGCCAAUAACGUAAUAAGUUAUUACGUUAUUGGCUUAACAACUUUAUUACAUUAUUGGCAAUUUAUUACGUUAUUGGUUUUAUUACAUUGAAAUGAUUACGUUAUUGGCCGUUAUCACGUUAUCGGUUGCUACAGCAUAUAAAGAGGCUGCAGUUGUCUCAGUCAGAAAUUCUAAACCAUCUAUCAUGCUUCUCUGCUACCAGCACCAUUGUACAGAAGAAAGAGGCGUAUUUAAAAAUGCUAAAAUUGUCCAUCACUGCCUUACUCUCACUAUACUCCCUUUAUUAGUGGAUGAUUAGUGUACAUGCUAACAUGAUUGUAUAUGAUUUCCAUCCAAAAGUUAAGUUUGCAGAAAAUGACACUUUGGUUCCUAAGGACAGAGCGUGUCACAUACUGUACAGAUUAUAAAGCCCCACGAAACCAAUGUCAUUUGUGAUUUUGGCCAUAUGGCAUAAAAACACCAACAUGGUGGUGGUUUGGUGGUUACCACUGUUGCCUCACAGCAAGAUGGAGAUUAGAUUCCCCUGGGAUCUUUCUGUGUGGAGCUCGCAUGUUUUCCCUGUGACCCAAACAGGGAUAAGUGGAAGAGAAUGGAUACAAGGACUUUAUAUGAUAGUGUGCAUCCACACUGUGUUCUUCUACAACCAUUUCUUGACUAUUACUAUACUGUCAUUUCAUUAAAUCCACUACGAUACAACUAUUGGGAAAACAGUCACAGGGGUCGAAUGUGAGUCUUAAUAUGUCUUAAUAUGUUUUUUUUGAGCAUACCAAAUAUUGCCACCGAAAGCUGUUCAUUUGCACUAAAUAAAGUAAUACCAAAUGAA